rnacentral:rRNA from 1 species
AGGAUGAACGCUGGCGGCGUGCCUAACACAUGCAAGUCGAACGCUCUCCAUUCGGUAGCAAUACUGAUGAAGAGGGAGUGGCGAACGGGUGAGUACCACGUGAGCAACCUGCCCCGAAGACUGGGACAACACCGGGAAACCGGUGCUAAUACCGGAUAUCCCUAUCGGAUCGCAUGAUCUGAUAAGGAAAUGGAUUCCGCUUCGGGAGGGGCUCGCGGCCUAUCAGCUAGUUGGUGAGGUAAUAGCUCACCAAGGCAUCGACGGGUAGCUGGUCUGAGAGGACGAUCAGCCACACUGGGACUGAGACACGGCCCAGACUCCUACGGGAGGCAGCAGUGGGGAAUCUUGCGCAAUGGGCGAAAGCCUGACGCAGCAACGCCGCGUGGAGGACGAAUGCUUUCUGAGUUGUAAACUCCUUUCAGCAGGGACGAUUGUGACGGUACCUGCAGAAGAAGCACCGGCCAACUACGUG